AGUCCCUCCCCACUUCUCCCCACCACGCAGCGCGCUUGGAGAGGCAGCAGAGCAAGUCCGUGAGCCUGCAGCCUCAAAACCUAAUGAAGGAAAAGAUUAAACACCCUCUUCCCAUUUCAUUGAAAUGUGCCCCUUUCUGUAAAUGAGAUUCAAAGCAGCACUAGAGAAACAGAGUGAGCAGAGGAUGUAGCAUCAAAGUCACAAAUCAUUGUCAAGUCAAGCUCCCAUUUCAUGAAUGCCUGCCAUUCACCAGGCCUUGAGUCACGUUUCUAUUGUAAGUUAUCACCAACUGAACAAUCCUGCAACACAGACAUGCUUAGCUAUGUUAGAGAUGGGAAAUGUAAACUCUGAGAGGUUAAGUGAGUGGUUAAUUUCAGACACCUAAAAAGUGCUCAUGUCAGGAUUGGGCUGAUAGGUGCCUAACUCCAAGACCUGCCUUCAGUACAAACACAGUAACUCAGAGAAAAUGGCAGUCUUAGGGCAUUCUCCCCUGCCCUUUGGUUAUUGGAUUUGUAUUUGUCCAAGAACCUAGUUCCUCCUAUUCAAUGCAGUUGCCUCAGAAAAGUUACUAGCCACAUCACAAUCCUGACAUAUUCAAUAAGAGGAUCAUCCAAUCAAGGAACUAAUAUGUUCAAGUGCCUCUGAUAUAGCAUGAACACUGGAUACAGGUGAGAGAGAUCAUGAUGAAGAAUCAAAGCAGAAUUGAGGGAAAUAGGCCUCAGUUUCCACAUCUGGAAAGUGGGGAUAAUAUACCUACCUUAAAGGCAUUGUGAGAAUGUCAAACUAAUGCAUGUGAAUCUCAUAAUAAUAGAUGCUCUAUUAGUAGUGACAGACUUUACCAUCAGCACCACCAUCCUCGCCACUACUGUCAAUCACUACUGCUACCAUCUGGCCAUGAACAAUAACAGUGGUGGUUACUUCAUGAUCCUUAAAGUGCAAGUUAAGUACCAGGAUUCUAAAUGGUAUGUUAGGUAGAUCGCAAGGUGAGGAGUUGGAGAUCAGCCUGGCCAAUAUGGUGAAACCCCAUCUCUACUAAAAAUGCAAAACUUAGCCAAGAGUAGUGGCAAGUACCUGUAGUCCCAGCUACUUGGGAGGCUAAGGCAGGAGAAUUGCUUGAACCCAGGAGGUGGAGGUUGCAGUAAGCCAAGAUCGUGCCACUGCACUCCAGCCUGGGCAAGAGAGUGAGACUCUGUUUAAAAAAAAAAGGCAGCAAAUUUUGCAGACAAUGAAAAAUAUAAAAUAUAAUAUCUUCAAAUUAUGAUUGGGAAAUGACUUUCUUUUGAGUCAAAUUAUGGUCACAAAAACAUUUAUUUUCUUAAAAUUAUCAUUAUGAAUUUUCAAAGGAUGUUCUUUGUUUUUUGUUUUAUGAAAUUUGGAAAACAAAUUGGCAUUUUCCUCUCCAUCAACAGUAUGAUUUCAUGAUUUCAUUAACCUUGGUCUUUUCCUAGUCUUCAUUUCAUUUUGAGAUGUGACAGUAUAAUCUUUGGAACUCAUUCUCAGAUCCAAAUUAAUUCUCAUGAAUCUCAGCCUGUUUUCCUUCUUUAGACCUUUUCUAGCUCCUUUUUCUCAUUCUUGAAAAAAAUUUUUUUUUUUUUUUUUUUGAGACGGAGUUUCGCUGUUGUUACCCAGACUGGAGUGCAAUGGCGCGAUCUCGGCUCACUGCAACCUUCGCCUCCUGGGUUCAGGCAAUUCUCCUGCCUCAGCCUCCCAAGUAGCUGGGACUACAGGCCUGACCCAUCAUGCCCAGCCAAUUUUUUUUUUUUUUUUUUUUUUUUUUUCUCUUUUUUCCCUGUUUUUUUUUUUUUUUUUUUUUUUUUUUUUUUUUUUUUUUAGUAGAGACAGGGUUUCACCUUGUUGACCAGGAUGGUCUCGAUCUCUUGACCUCGUGAUCCAGCUGCCUCUGCCUCCCAAAGUGCUGGGAUUAUAUGCAUGAG
rnacentral:lncRNA from 13 species